rnacentral:antisense_RNA from 1 species
UUUCCUAGGAAGGUGAUACUUACAGCAGUGGAGAUUAGCAAUACCUGGACAGAGUUGAGCUUCAAAGGACACUGAGAAAUGGCUAAAGCAGUAAUAAAGAAAAAAAUGAGGAAAUGCUGUGAAGAAUAGAACAUUUCAGAAGCAGAACAAUUCGAGAGCAGUGAUGACCCUUUUGUUCCUACUAGUACCUCCUGACUGUCUGGCCGAACUCACCAUCAGAUGAUGUCUUGAACCUCACCUAGACGGGCUGGUGGUGUGUGGCCAGGUUAAGAGCACCACGAGGAGUAAGAAAGUGACGUGCCUGGUUUUACCAUGUCCACUAGGGGAGGAGUUGAAAGCUUUCUGUUGAUACAUCACCUCUGGGAGUUGAAGAAGAAUGCAAUUAAAAGAGCUAAAGAAGUCAGUAGGUAUCUCUCCUGAACAAUUCUGGUUUUCUUCUAAUGGCUUU